CGAAAGGCUCAUUAAAUCAGUUAUGGUUCCUUAGAUCGUACCCACAUUUACUUGGAUAACUGUGGUAAUUCUAGAGCUAAUACAUGCAAACAGAGCUCCGACCGGAGACGGAAGGAGCGCUUUUAUUAGAUCAAAACCAAUCGGCGGCGGGUUCGCUCGUCGUCGUACAUUUUGGUGACUCUGAAUAACUUUUUGCUGAUCGCACGGUCUAGCACCGGCGACGCAUCUUUCAAAUGUCUGCCUUAUCAACUGUCGAUGGUAGGUUCUGCGCCUACCAUGGUUGUAACGGGUAACGGGGAAUCAGGGUUCGAUUCCGGAGAGGGAGCCUGAGAAACGGCUACCACAUCCAAGGAAGGCAGCAGGCGCGCAAAUUACCCACUCCCGGCACGGGGAGGUAGUGACGAAAAAUAACGAUACGGGACUCAUCCGAGGCCCCGUAAUCGGAAUGAGUACACUCUAAACCCUUUAACGAGGAUCAAUUGGAGGGCAAGUCUGGUGCCAGCAGCCGCGGUAAUUCCAGCUCCAAUAGCGUAUAUUAAAGUUGUUGCGGUUAAAAAGCUCGUAGUCGAAUCUGUGUCCCGCGCCGUCGGUUCAUCGCUCGCGGUGUUUAACUGACGUGUCGUGGGACGUCCUGCCGGUGGGCUUAGCUCGUUCGCGGGCGGCCCAACUUGAAAUCCCACCGCGGUGCUCUUCAUUGAGUGUCGAGGUGGGCCGGCACGUUUACUUUGAACAAAUUAGAGUGCUUAAAGCAGGCUAAAAUUUCGCCUGAAUAUUCUGUGCAUGGAAUAAUGGAAUAGGACCUCGGUUCUAUUUUGUUGGUUUUCGGAACCCCGAGGUAAUGAUUAAUAGGAACGGAUGGGGGCAUUCGUAUUGCGACGUUAGAGGUGAAAUUCUUGGAUCGUCGCAAGACGGACAGAAGCGAAAGCAUUUGCCAAAAACGCUUUCAUUGAUCAAGAACGAAAGUUAGAGGUUCGAAGGCGAUCAGAUACCGCCCUAGUUCUAACCAUAAACGAUGCCAGCUAGCGAUCCGCCGACGUUCCUCCGAUGACUCGGCGGGCAGCU
rnacentral:rRNA from 1 species